rnacentral:rRNA from 2 species
CGUCGCGAGAAGUCCACUGAACCUUAUCAUUUAGAGGAAGGAGAAGUCG